rnacentral:rRNA from 1 species
UUAAGCGACUAAGCGUACACGGUGGAUGCCCUGGCAGUCAGAGGCGAUGAAGGACGUGCUAAUCUGCGAUAAGCGUCGGUAAGGUGAUAUGAACCGUUAUAACCGGCGAUUUCCGAAUGGGGAAACCCAGUGUGUUUCGACACACUAUCAUUAACUGAAUCCAUAGGUUAAUGAGGCGAACCGGGGGAACUGAAACAUCUAAGUACCCCGAGGAAAAGAAAUCAACCGAGAUUCCCCCAGUAGCGGCGAGCGAACGGGGAGCAGCCCAGAGCCUGAAUCAGUGUGUGUGUUAGUGGAAGCGUCUGGAAAGGCGCGCGAUACAGGGUGACAGCCCCGUACACAAAAAUGCACAUACUGUGAGCUCGAUGAGUAGGGCGGGACACGUGGUAUCCUGUCUGAAUAUGGGGGGACCAUCCUCCAAGGCUAAAUACUCCUGACUGACCGAUAGUGAACCAGUACCGUGAGGGAAAGGCGAAAAGAACCCCGGCGAGGGGAGUGAAAAAGAACCUGAAACCGUGUACGUACAAGCAGUGGGAGCCUCUUUUAUGGGGUGACUGCGUACCUUUUGUAUAAUGGGUCAGCGACUUAUAUUCUGUAGCAAGGUUAACCGAAUAGGGGAGCCGAAGGGAAACCGAGUCUUAACUGGGCGUUAAGUUGCAGGGUAUAGACCCGAAACCCGGUGAUCUAGCCAUGGGCAGGUUGAAGGUUGGGUAACACUAACUGGAGGACCGAACCGACUAAUGUUGAAAAAUUAGCGGAUGACUUGUGGCUGGGGGUGAAAGGCCAAUCAAACCGGGAGAUAGCUGGUUCUCCCCGAAAGCUAUUUAGGUAGCGCCUCGUGAAUUCAUCUCCGGGGGUAGAGCACUGUUUCGGCAAGGGGGUCAUCCCGACUUACCAACCCGAUGCAAACUGCGAAUACCGGAGAAUGUUAUCACGGGAGACACACGGCGGGUGCUAACGUCCGUCGUGAAGAGGGAAACAACCCAGACCGCCAGCUAAGGUCCCAAAGUCAUGGUUAAGUGGGAAACGAUGUGGGAAGGCCCAGACAGCCAGGAUGUUGGCUUAGAAGCAGCCAUCAUUUAAAGAAAGCGUAAUAGCUCACUGGUCGAGUCGGCCUGCGCGGAAGAUGUAACGGGGCUAAACCAUGCACCGAAGCUGCGGCAGCGACACUAUGUGUUGUUGGGUAGGGGAGCGUUCUGUAAGCCUGUGAAGGUGUACUGUGAGGUAUGCUGGAGGUAUCAGAAGUGCGAAUGCUGACAUAAGUAACGAUAAAGCGGGUGAAAAGCCCGCUCGCCGGAAGACCAAGGGUUCCUGUCCAACGUUAAUCGGGGCAGGGUGAGUCGACCCCUAAGGCGAGGCCGAAAGGCGUAGUCGAUGGGAAACAGGUUAAUAUUCCUGUACUUGGUGUUACUGCGAAGGGGGGACGGAGAAGGCUAUGUUGGCCGGGCGACGGUUGUCCCGGUUUAAGCGUGUAGGCUGGUUUUCCAGGCAAAUCCGGAAAAUCAAGGCUGAGGCGUGAUGACGAGGCACUACGGUGCUGAAGCAACAAAUGCCCUGCUUCCAGGAAAAGCCUCUAAGCAUCAGGUAACAUCAAAUCGUACCCCAAACCGACACAGGUGGUCAGGUAGAGAAUACCAAGGCGCUUGAGAGAACUCGGGUGAAGGAACUAGGCAAAAUGGUGCCGUAACUUCGGGAGAAGGCACGCUGAUAUGUAGGUGAAGUCCCUCGCGGAUGGAGCUGAAAUCAGUCGAAGAUACCAGCUGGCUGCAACUGUUUAUUAAAAACACAGCACUGUGCAAACACGAAAGUGGACGUAUACGGUGUGACGCCUGCCCGGUGCCGGAAGGUUAAUUGAUGGGGUUAGCGGUAACGCGAAGCUCUUGAUCGAAGCCCCGGUAAACGGCGGCCGUAACUAUAACGGUCCUAAGGUAGCGAAAUUCCUUGUCGGGUAAGUUCCGACCUGCACGAAUGGCGUAAUGAUGGCCAGGCUGUCUCCACCCGAGACUCAGUGAAAUUGAACUCGCUGUGAAGAUGCAGUGUACCCGCGGCAAGACGGAAAGACCCCGUGAACCUUUACUAUAGCUUGACACUGAACAUUGAGCCUUGAUGUGUAGGAUAGGUGGGAGGCUUUGAAGUGUGGACGCCAGUCUGCAUGGAGCCGGCCUUGAAAUACCACCCUUUAAUGUUUGAUGUUCUAACGUUGGCCCCUGAUCGGGGUUGCGGACAGUGUCUGGUGGGUAGUUUGACUGGGGCGGUCUCCUCCUAAAGAGUAACGGAGGAGCACGAAGGUUGGCUAAUCCUGGUCGGACAUCAGGAGGUUAGUGCAAUGGCAUAAGCCAGCUUGACUGCGAGCGUGACGGCGCGAGCAGGUGCGAAAGCAGGUCAUAGUGAUCCGGUGGUUCUGAAUGGAAGGGCCAUCGCUCAACGGAUAAAAGGUACUCCGGGGAUAACAGGCUGAUACCGCCCAAGAGUUCAUAUCGACGGCGGUGUUUGGCACCUCGAUGUCGGCUCAUCACAUCCUGGGGCUGAAGUAGGUCCCAAGGGUAUGGCUGUUCGCCAUUUAAAGUGGUACGCGAGCUGGGUUUAGAACGUCGUGAGACAGUUCGGUCCCUAUCUGCCGUGGGCGCUGGAGAACUGAGGGGGGCUGCUCCUAGUACGAGAGGACCGGAGUGGACGCAUCACUGGUGUUCGGGUUGUCAUGCCAAUGGCACUGCCCGGUAGCUAAAUGCGGAAGAGAUAAGUGCUGAAAGCAUCUAAGCACGAAACUUGCCCCGAGAUGAGUUCUCCCUGACUCCUUGAGAGUCCUGAAGGAACGUUGAAGACGACGACGUUGAUAGGCCGGGUGUGUAAGCGCAGCGAUGCGUUGAGCUAACCGGUACUAAUGAACCGUGAGGCUUAACCUU